UGGAAAGGUGGGACCCUACUAGGUUGUG
rnacentral:sRNA from 1 species